AUGAAGACUGUCCCCUGCUCUUUCGAUGAAAUACUCAGCGCCCACGCGUGACGUUCUAGAAAGUUCAUUGAAGAUACCUCAGAGCAAGUGAGACGUUCAUGACACCGCAAAGAGCUCAGCCGGAGUCUGACUCACUGGUGUCUGAGGACGAGGAUGACGAGGAGGAGGAGGACGAUGACGAGUCCGAGCUGGAACUGCUGCCGCUGAGGCGCGAGGGCUGCGUGUGGGCCUCGGCGGGGUUGGCCUUCUCCGCUGGCAAAGUUUGGCAGGCUUCUUGGCAGAGUUGAGCUGUCCGCUGACGUCCUGGAGCCUCCUCUCCAGCUCCAGACGCUUCUCCAGGGUCAGCUCCUCUUUGGACUUGACCACGCCGCCUUUCUUCACUGCUAACGAGAACACAAAAGCACAAGAACAACAGUCAUCAGGACAAGGGGAGGGUUGGUGUCGCGCAGCGAGGGCUCCCGCGACUGGAUGAUGUGCACCACACGACCCAGCUUCUCGCCCGGAAGCUUGUUGAUGUCCAGGCUCAGCUGCCGCUUCUCGUCGUAAGUCAUGGGCACAAUUUCCUCCUCCUCCUCAGAGUCGUAGUGCGGCAGCAUGGCAGCCGGCAACAGCGGGUAGAAAGGCUUCUUGGAGCUCCUGGUGGGAGGUUCAAACGGACAUUAAAUCAGUGACUUAAUGUCAGAAUGCUAAAGCCUAAUAAAUCUAGUGUGGAGGCAGAAUGGUGGUAGUGUUCCUCCCGCUAUAUCGCAGAUUUCGUAGUGUAAUAUUGCGCAAAAACAUGCCAGGCAGUGAUGAGGCUACUCGGGAGAGGUUCAGCGUAAUUAAUGACGCCCCUUCAGUGUAAUAGAGUACCACAUUUUGCCAGUGUAAUAUUACAGAGAAUAAAGAAAAGAGCAGAGAAAAUAUAUGCCACUGAGUAUUGUUCUGUGCUAUGUUUGUAUGUGUUGCUGCUCCGUGUGUGUUAAAACAGCAAUUGUUUAGGCCAUUAGGCCAUCUAUGGCAUUUGCAUUGUUACCAUUAAGCUAGUAGAAUUUGGUUAGAUGAAAUGAAAUGGUUUGGUUCAAAAUGUUAAAGUUUAAACAUCCAAUGUUUACUUGUGUUUUGUUUUAUGUGUCAGUUUUACAGUAAAAAUGAACUGAGUGACAACUAAACAGUAAAAGUAUGCAAACUUUGACUCUUA